rnacentral:rRNA from 1 species
CUGUAAGACUGGGAUAACUCCGGGAAACCGGAGCUAAUACCGGAUAGUUCCUUGAACCGCAUGGUUCAAGGAUGAAAGACGGUUUCGGCUGUCACUUACAGAUGGACCCGCGGCGCAUUAGCUAGUUGGUGGGGUAAUGGCUCACCAAGGCGACGAUGCGUAGCCGACCUGAGAGGGUGAUCGGCCACACUGGGACUGAGACACGGCCCAGACUCCUACGGGAGGCAGCAG